GUCUAGUCUCUGGCACUGAAGACAUCUCCCCUAAUUCCACAACUUUCCUUUCUCUUCCCUCUCCUUAAGCUUUCUCUUCUGCUCUAACCAAGAGUGCAAGCUCAAAGCUGACAUCUUAUAAGUCACAAUAAAGAAACCAAGUGCCUGCUGGAAAACAGUCAGAAGCUGACAGUUGCCUGCCACCUCUGCUUCAGGUCACCUGCAUCUGGUUUGCAUAGGUACAUACAAGUGCCUUGUUCAGUGGGAUCCUCCAGAACUUUGUACUGGGGUACUGAAGGUCUUUAGAAUUAUAGAAAGCAUCUGGCAAAAGCAUAAGCUUCAGUCAGGAUCUUUGGACCAGGAAUGCACUAAGUCCUCCAAGCCCUUCCUCAUUCCACCUUUCCACCCAGACCAGUUUUGAUCCAACCAAAACCAAUCUAUGGCCACUCACGGUAGCAUCAUCAGUGUCUGCAAGGAUGAAAGCUAUGGUGUAGUCACUGGAAUGGGUGACUCUGUCAGUGUGUGACAAAAGGGCCAACUGCUCUACACUGAAAGAAUUUAUUGCUUUGUCUCGAUAGACAUUACUGUCUGAGCUCUUCUGUGGGAUGUACAAAGAGAAGCAAGCAGGUUAUGUGCCAAAAUACCAAAAAUCUUGUUUUGAAAGGCAACAAAAAUCUCUCAUUUGACUCCAGAGAAGAGCAAGGUCUGGGAAACAACCUCAGGCAAUGCACCAGGAGCCCUGCUGUGCAUGGCAAUACGGGAAGAUGAGUGGCCGAGUCAGAACUGGUGUAGUGAUGUGAUUCGAUGUCU